rnacentral:rRNA from 2 species
UGGAGAUAGCUGGUUCUCUCCGAAAUAGCUUUAGGGCUAGCCUCAAGUGAUGAUUAUUGGAGGUAGAGCACUGUUUGGACGAGGGGCCCCUCUCGGGUUACCGAAUUCAGACAAACUCCGAAUGCCAAUUAAUUUAACUUGGGAGUCAGAACAUGGGUGAUAAGGUCCGUGUUCGAAAGGGAAACAGCCCAGACCACCAGCUAAGGUCCCAAAAUAUAUGUUAAGUGGAAAAGGAUGUGGCGUUGCCCAGACAACUAGGAUGUUGGCUUAGAAGCAGCCAUCAUUUAAAGAGUGCGUAAUAGCUCACUAGUCGAGUGACACUGCGCCGAAAAUGUACCGGGGCUAAACAUAUUACCGAAGCUGUGGAUUGUCCUUUGGACAAUGGUAGGAGAGCGUUCUAAGGGCGUUGAAGCAUGAUCGUAAGGACAUGUGGAGCGCUUAGAAGUGAGAAUGCCGGUGUGAGUAGCGAAAGACGGGUGAGAAUCCCGUCCACCGAUUGACUAAGGUUUCCAGAGGAAGGCUCGUCCGCUCUGGGUUAGUCGGGUCCUAAGCUGAGGCCGACAGGCGUAGGCGAUGGAUAACAGGUUGAUAUUCCUGUACCACCUAUAAUCGUUUUAAUCGAUGGGGGG